rnacentral:misc_RNA from 1 species
AGGGCGCUUGAUAAAAGAUGGCGGCGUCCAUGGUAAACUGAUCGAAAGUCGUAUCGAGAAGAUUUCAGAUUUUUUAUCUGCACCUACUACAUGUAGGCCUACCCUGCGCCGUUAAGUGUUGUUGAAAUUCAGUCACCACAAUGGAUUUGAAUCCUGAUGCAGAUCUUGCCGUGCGAAAGAAGAAAAAGAAGAAGAAGAAAAGGAAACAUGCAGAGACUCCAGCGGACUAUGCCUGGAUAAAAACUGAGCCUGAGACUGAGUGGUUGAGUGUACAAAGUCAGAAUCUUGACUUUGGGACCAUAGACAACAACCGAACCCUUGGUGCUCCCAAGGAAACAAGGAAGAAAAAAAAGAAGGUGAAAUCUGAAGACCCAGUGGAAAAUGUGCCCAGUGUGGAUGCAGAAAUGGUGUGUGAUUUUGGCAUCUCGGAUAGCACUGAUCAUUCAGAUGAGGCAAAGCAGAUCCUUAAAAAGAAAAGGAAGAGGAAAAGAAAACGCUCUAUUCUCCAGGAAGCACAGUCCGAGGAGACAAGUUCUAUAGCGGGGGAUUCACAGCAGGAGGUUCAAGAUGGAGUUGAGGACUGUCCCUUGUCUUUCCGGGCUGAACCUCAAUCACACAAAUGCAAGAAGAACAAGAAGUGUAAGGUACAAGAGCAGCCGUCUCCAGGAACAUUAACGGCAGAUGUGGCCGAGUCACAACACAUAAUGCCUGCUGUUUCAGAGGCGACUAAGGAGAAAGUUGCUGAUAAAAGCCGCAAGAAAAAGAAACACAAGGCAAAAGACCAUCUUGACAGUCCGAUGAGUACCGAUGCGGAUGGAGACCAGACUUCAGGGAAGAUUACUGUGACUGACACAACUGAGGAUGAUGCAAGGCAUAAGAAGAGAAAAAGGAAAGCCCAGGACAAGCUCAAUGAACUGCACUACGAGGAACCCCAAGGGCUGGCAGAUGCUAAUUGCAAAAAUCAAGAUGACUUGGUCUCAGAGGGUGUGGGAUACCCUGUGCGAAUAAAGAAAGGAAAAAGAAAGAAGAAAGAUUUGGAUGAGCAUUUGCAAACAGGAGGGAGUGCCGAAUCACAGAUUUCUCCUAAUACUGUGGACAUGCAGGAGAAGCUGUCAUCGCAAGAGGAGGAUCCCAAACCCAGGAAGAGAAAAAAGAAAUCCACUGGUUGGAACAAUGGUAAUGAUGACCCCAUAUGUCUGCAGUCGUCUGAAAUAGAGAUUGGUGAGCAAAAACUAGUGGAUGGACAUCUUCGCAAGGUAAAACUUACAGAGGCACGGCAAAUCGCUGUCAGUGAUCAUACCCCUGUCACCCGAUGAAAAUGGCUCUCCGUCCCUGGACGAGUCUCCGGACCCCAGGGCAGUCCUCAGAAAGAAUCCCUCACCGUAUAAGGGUCAGAGUGGAUGCUCCAAAGCUCCGGCUGCUGACAGGUUGUUGGAGGCCAAAGCAUCGGUCUUUGCUGGCAAGAUGGGGUGGUCCUC